rnacentral:rRNA from 1 species
GACGUAGGGCGCGAGCGUUGUCCGGAUUUAUUGGGCGUAAAGAGCUCGUAGGCGGCUUGUCGCGUCGACCGUGAAAACUCGCAGCUCAACUGCGAGCCUGCGGUCGAUACGGGCAGGCUAGAGUUCGGUAGGGGAGACUGGAAUUCCUGGUGUAGCGGCGAAAUGCGCAGAUAUCAGGAGGAACACCGGUGGCGAAGGCGGGACUCUGGGCCGAUACUGACGCUGAGGAGCGAAAGCGUGGGGAGCAAACAGG